CAGUUUUAACCAGGAGGGUUUCUGGCCAGUCCUCCCGGUCAAAUGGAUCGGACUACUUUUGCCGUCAAUGGCAGAUUUUACAAAAGCUUUGUAGGGAUUUUUUACUGUUGAGUGUAUAUUUAACCAAUUAACAAGUGUUAGUAUCCAGAGUAUAUACAUAAAUUGUAAAAUACAAUGUAUAUAUUGCAUGAAUAUGGCAAAAUAUAACUGGAUUCAUUUGUAGUUCCAGGAGUGUUGGCGCAAGAGCCUCGAGCAGAUUAAGCACGUCCAAGCCGCCAGCCUCAAGUAGAAGCAAGCGUCACCGCGUCGGUCUCCAACGAUGUCGAGGAUGUCACUGCAGCAAUCCAGGAUAUGUCGAGCUUGUAGUUUGAUCAACGUGUAUCAAUUGGUAACUGAAAUCUGUUCUUUGGAUAGGACAGGUGAUAUUUGGAGAUGAAGAUCAGCAGUGACCUUGCAACGUGGAUAUUCUCUGCAGUCGACCUGAGUGUCAUCAGAUGGAGACCAGAAGUCACCGAGAGCACAGCCUGAUUGUAAUUGAUGCCAUUUGUCAAAGAUGAGUAUUUAAAAGCCCUACUUUAUUUUAAAAAAAAAAAAAAAAAUGUAAAAAUGUCUUUCCAAUUGUGGUAUAAAAAAUAGAACUGCUGAAGAUGCUUUUAAAGCAUUUGAUUAACGAUGGAGGACCAGUAGUGCAGUGUUAAUAAAUAAAAGUAAAAUAAAUCAGUUUCAUGUUAGAAUACUUUAUAUUUAAGUAUAGUCAAAUCUUAGAAUGGUUGCCCUUGUUUUCAUCUUCCCCAAAAAUGAUUUAGUAAAUAUUUUUAAAUGUUUUUUGUUUGUUUGUUUCCCAGGGGGGAAAAACAGUCGAUUUUUAGGAGGCAAUAGUUCAACUUUUGUCAUUAUUUCAAUUUAUUCAUUGUCUCGAUCAAUGGUGCCGCAAUGAAACAAAAGUGAGUGGGAUUACGUGUUAAUUGCAUUAAAAAAUUCAAAAGUUAUAUAGUGAACAGUCCCGUUUCAGUGCCAUUGACAGCGACAGACUUCCGAUCCAUUUCAACCAGGAGGGGUCUGGCCAGUCCUCCUGGUUAAAUGAAUAGGAUGUCUUCUGUCAAUGGCAGAUUUUACAAAAUAAUUAGGACUUUUGACAAUACAAAAUGUAUGUUUAACCAAUUAAGUGUUAGUAUCCUGAGUAUGUACAUAAGUUGUAAAAUACAAUGUAUGUAUUGCAUGAAUAUGGCAAAAUAUAACCAAUUCAUCUGUGGUUCCAGGAGUGUUGGCUCAAGAACAGAUUUGAGUACAUCCAAUGCCGCCAGCCUCAAGUAGAAGCGAACGUCACUGCGACGGGUGAUAUUUGAGAUGAAGAUCGGCAGCGACCUUGCAAAGUGGAUAUUCUCUGGAGUUGACCUGUGUCAUCAGAUGUUGGGAGACCAGAAGUCACCAAGAGCACAGCCUGAUUGUAAUUGUUGCCAUUUGUCAAAGAUGAGUAUUCAAAAUCCCGAAUUUAUUUUUAAAAAAAAAAGUAAAAAUUAGUCUUUCCAUAUGUGGUAUAAAAAAUAGAACUGCUGAAGAUGCUUUUAAAGCCUUUAACUAUGGAGGACCAGUAGUGGAGUGUUAAAUAAAUGGUGUUAUACUUAUAUAGCGCUUUUCCACCUUUCAAGGCCCUUAAAGCACUUUACACUCUCGCCAUCCACCUACUGGUAUAAAAGUGAAAUAAAUAUCAGGUUCAUGUUAGAAUAUUUUAUUUCAGUAUGGUCAAAUCUUAAAAUGGUUGCCCUUGUCUUCAUCUUCCCCCAAAAUGAUUUUGUAAAUAUUUUAAAAUGUGUUUUUUGUUUCCCAGGGGUGAAAAAACAGGCGAUUUUUAGGGGGCAAUAUUUCAACUUUUGUCUUUAUUUCAACUUAUUCAUUGUCUCUAUCAAUGGUGCCGCAAUGAAAGAAAAGUGAGUGCGGGAUUACGUGUUAAUUGCAUUUAAAAAAUUCAAAAUUUAUAUAGUGAAACGGUCCUGUUUGAGUGCCAUUGACGGCGACACUUCCGAUCCAUUUUAACCAGGAGGGGGCUGGCCAGUCCUCUUGGUAAAAUGAAUAGGAUGUCUUCUGUCAACGUCAGAUUUUGCAAAAUAAUUAUAAUAACUUGUAUGUUUAACCAAUUAAGUGUUAGUAUCCUGAGUGUGUACAUAAGUUGUAAAAUACAAUGUAUGUAUUGCAUGGAUAUGGCAAAAUAUAACCAAUUCAUCUGUGGUUCCAGGAGUGUUGGCUCAAGAACAGAUUGAGUACGUCCAAUGCCGCCAGCCUAAAGCAGGACAAGAGGGCGUCUCUCAAAUGAGUGCAACGACAUUGCAGUAAUCCAGGGAAUGUUACCUUUUCAGUUGUCAUUUAAAAGGCGGCGGGGGAGCACAAAGCUAAUAAAAAGUACUGUUGCAACUGUUUAAAUCUAUGCAUUAAAGUAGCCAGUUUUCUUUUAAAAAUUCCAUUUAAAAAAUGCAAAACGAUGUUUAUAGUGAACGAUCCAGUUUCAGUGCCAUUGACAGAUGGCAGUCUGAUCCAAUUUAACUGGGAGGGGUCUGGCCAGCCCUCCCAGUCAAAUGGAUUGGCACUUUGGCCAUCAGCGGUAUUUUUUACAAAAGCUUAAAAUAAGUAGGACUUUUGAUGGUAGUGUAUAUUUUACCAAUUAAGUGUUACUAAGACAUAAUGUAUUUUUACAGGAUUGUUGGCCCAAGAGGAGAUUGAACAUGUCCGAGCUGUCAGCCUCAAGCAAGAGAAGUGAGCGUCUCUCCAGUGACGCCAAGUGCGACAACACUGCAGCAAUCCAGGGAAUGUAAAGCUUUCAGUUGUCAUGUUAAAAUUUCUCAGCUAAUGAAAUGUAAUAGCAUUACUACAACUGCUUAAUCUAUGCAUUAAAUUAGCAGCUUUUGUUUUCCUACAAUUGGUUGGGGUAAAACAAUCACGUGUUAAUUAAAUUUAAAAAAUAGAAAAUUUCCGUGCCAUUGACUACAACAGACUUCCGAUCCAUUUUGACCAGGAGGGGGCUGGCCAGUCCUCUUGGUAAAAUGGAUCGCGCAACUUUUGCCGUCAAUUGCAGAUUUUACAAAAGAUGUUACUGAUUAGGACUUUUAUACUUUUGACACGGAACAAAAUGUAUAUUUAACUAAUAAGUGUUAGUAUCCUGUGUAUAUAAGGUGUAAAAUACAAUGCAUAUAUUGCAUGAAUAUAGCAAAAUGUAACUAGUUUCAUAUGUGGUUCCAGGAAUGUUGGGUCAAAAGCAGAUUGAGCUCAUCCAUGCCGCGCCAGCCUCAAGCAGGAGAAUCGAGCGUCGGUCUCCAAUGACGCAAAGCACGACGACACAGCAGCAAUCAGGCAAUGUUUAGCUUUCAGUUGUCAUUUGAAGAGAUAAUCACUUAGCUAAUGAAAUGCACUAGUACUGUAAAUGCUUAAUAAGGCUCAAUCUUUACAUUAAAUUACCCAGAUUGUUUUCCUAUAUAAAUUGUGUUAAUUCCAUUAAAAAUGCAAAACGAUGUCUGAAGUGAAUGAUAUUUUAAAUGCCAUUGACAAAAAUAGAAGUCUGCUCCAAUUUAACCGGGAGGGGUCUGGCCAGCCCUCUCAGUCAAAUGGAUCGGACUUCUUUUGCCGUCAGUGGGAGACUUUUUACAAAAGCUUAGAAUAAGUAGGACUUUUAACAGUACUGUGUAUAUUUUACUAAUAAGUGUUAAUAAGACGUGUGUUUCCAGGAGUGUUGGCCCAAAAAUGGAUUGAACACAUCCAAGCCUCAAGCAGAAGCGAGCGUCAAUCUCCAACGACAACACUGCAGCAAUCCAGGGAAUGUUAAGCUUUCAGUUCUUUUUAAAAAAAAAAAAAAAACGUACAAAACGUCUAUAUAGUGACCAGAGGUUGCGCUAGACAUUUUCGUUGUCUGUCAUUUUGACUGACAGGGUCAUAAAAAUCCGGUCAGUCUAUUUUUACCCGUCACUUAAAUUUUUGAAAUGAUAAUGACAUAUUCAUUAGUAUUUAGUUUUCAUUCAUUUUUAAUAUUGUAACGCUUGCUUGGCGGCGAAAAAUUAGACACGGAAGUCGUGGUAUUUUUCUCCCUUUUUACUCUGCUUACCGCCAACAACUCCGCCCCCAAAGAAAAGGAGGCAACGAUAUAGACCCCCCAAUCACCAACGUCACACAAUGAUCUUAAUUGUGGUUGUCAGCCCAAAAUCUUCUAAAUAUAUAUUAAAUGCAUCUUACCAGAUAUAAAAAGACUACUACAUAGUCUGUGGUGAUCGUUUGGUGCCCAGAUUUCUUGUCGAAUUACAGCAGUCCAUCUCGCUCUCAUCUUCGCGUCUCUCAGAAUACGGUAGAACUUCAAGUCUCUCCGUCUAUCUUCUCUGUUACAGCAACCAACCGCCACACACGCCUUCACCAUUUUGAUUAUUAAUAUUAACGAGCAGAAAAACACGCCGUAAUAGGAGGCAUGUACGUAGCGGUAAUGUAUAAACAUGACGGGCUGACACACAAUAUGGCGGCUCCGGUCAGGGGGCCGGAGUUGUGACGUCAUGUGAUUGGGGUCUAUACACAGGCGGCAAUCUUGUCCAUCAAUUGGAUGACGCGCUGGCACACCGGGUGCACCAAUAAGAACCUCGCGUUGAUGUGUCAAUCACGGUGCCACCGCCAGACCCCGGUUACGCUACAAUAUUCUGACAGAAUAGCCAACGACGUCAUGCAUUAAGAGAGACAAUAGCUAAUUAAUAUGCUAACUCGCCACCCUGUGGUCUGGGGUGUGAAUUGCAACCUGUCAAAAUGACUGACGGACUUCAGUUUUUUCCGUCACCGUUUUAAAAAAAACCGGUCAACGACGGAAAAUUUCCGGUUAACGCGACCCCUGAUAGUGACCGAUCCAGUUUCAGUGCCAUUGACAGAAACGUAAGUGCGAUCCAAUUGAACCGGCAGGGAUCUGGCCAGUCCUCCCGGUGAAAUGGAUCGGACGUUUUUUGCCAUCAACUGCAGAUUUGAUUAACAAUUUAAAUAGCAUGUAUGUUUGUUUUAUUGAACAGCCAAACAUGAUGAAUCAAAAGUAACAAAUAUUUCUUUAUAUGCAGGACAAUCAUUUCGAAGGAAUGGAGUACAAUUCACCCAGAGUCCUGGAACAGAAUGAGCACGUCCCAGCAGGGGAAGCAAGCACCUGCACAGCGGCCGUAUUGGUCCAACUUUCCUCCGGAUGUAUGCGAAGUCACUGCAACAAUCCACGACUGAUGAUAUUUUGAGAUGAAGAUCAGUAGUGAUCUUGCAAAGCCUGCAACGUGGAUAUUCUCUGCAGUCGACCUGCUUGUCAUCAGAUUUUGGGAGACCACAUCGUGAUUGUAAAUGUUGUCAUUUGUCAAAGAUGAGUAUUCAAAAGCCUUCCUGUGAUUAAAAAAAAUAGUCUUUCGAUAUUUGGUAUUAAAAAAAACUGCUAAACAUGCUUUUAAAAAGCCUUUAACUAUGGAGGACCAGUAGUACCAAUGUUAAAUAAUUAAAUGGUAUGUUCGUGUUUGAAUAUUUCAAUAUUGUCGCAUUUUGAAAUGGUUGCCCACAUCUUUUAAUCUUCCCCCCAAAAUUUAGUAAAUAUAGUUUAAAAAUGAUUUUUUUUUUAAAAAAUUUUGCUGGGGGGGAUUUGAAGACUGGCAAUAGUUUUCAACUUUCCUCAUUAUUUCAACUUUUAUUCAAUGUCUCAAUGGCGCCGCAAUGACAUAAAAGUGAAAUGGAAAAUGACGAAAUGCACAACUAAAUGAAAACAUCGCAAUGGAAAGAUAUAUUUUUCUUUUUUUUUUUUUUUUCUUUUUUAGAACAAGAGCUCUAAAUGAAACAUCCAAUUGUUUAUUUAGUUGUGUAUCUAAUUCAUUUUUUAUCCUCAGGGUCCUCAAUGUUAAUUGACGUUGCAUUCAAAUUCAUUUAAGAUGGGAAGGUCGUAUUUGCUCAUCUUUGAGGGCCAUUGAUGGUACUGGAUGUCCAAUCGGUUAAGCUUCAUUCACUCCCAGCAUCAUGUUUGCUAAUGUUUAACUGCAUUAUUAAAUGUACAUUAAGCAUGUCAUCAAUCAUUGACUGCCAUUGACAAGGAUGCGAAAUUUCAUCAUGGCAGGCAUGAAAUAUUACUUUUCGUGCAAUUGAAAGCAAACGAUGUCCAAGCUGUUUUGACCAGGAGGUGGCUGGCCAGGCAUCCCAGUCAAGGAGUUGGUUGUCUUGCGCUGUCAAGGGCAGCUAAUUGAUUGAACACACACAUUAACCUUUUUAGUGCAGCAUCCUUAUAGUUAAUAUGAUAAGUAACUGUUUGGUCUGUGUAAAAACAUGACUUUUACAACAAAUCUGCUUUGUCAAUUUCUUGUCCAUGGCAGUCGGGAAGCCUUCUGAAUAUAUCUUGAGACCUAAAUAGAAACUAAAGCUGUUACCCAGUUUCU